rnacentral:rRNA from 1 species
GACCGCGUGAGGGAGGAAGGCUCUUGGGUUGUAAACCUCUUUUCUCAGGGAAGAAGCUCUGACGGUACCUGAGGAAUCAGCCUCGGCUAACUCCGUGCCAGCAGCCGCGGUAAUACGGAGGAGGCAAGCGUUAUCCGGAAUUAUUGGGCGUAAAGCGUCCGCAGGUGGCGAUUCAAGUCUGCUGUCAAAGCACGGGGCUUAACUCCGUUAAGGCAGUGGAAACUGAAUGGCUAGAGUGCCGUAGGGGUAGAGGGAAUUCCCGGUGUAGCGGUGAAAUGCGUAGAGAUCGGGAAGAACAUCGGUGGCCGAAGCGCGUUACUGGCCCCG